rnacentral:lncRNA from 1 species
UAUCAUACUCAAAUAAUUUUUAUAAUUUUUCUCUUUUUGGUAUUGACUAAUGAUUUUACUUGUCUUGUGUGGUCAUCUUCUCUUAUACUUGAUAUCAAGGUUAGCGUUCGAAUUUGUAAAGCUAGUGACAGAUAUUGUAGUGACCAACAACAUGAUAAAAUUUUAUAUCAUAUUCAUGCACACGAUGAGGGUAGUAACCAUGAAUUUAACGUU